AGAAGACUGGAUAUCCUCCCUUUGGUUGUGGUUGUAUUUCUCAAAGCGGAAAGCUGUUGGAUGAUGUUACAGUUAACAAUAUUUAUAUUAUCAUUAUUUAUAGAAUGAAGAAUCACAUUUUAAUUCUGCUGUGUAAAAGAAUGAAGUUUUCGUGAUAUCAGUCUCACUAAGUCCAGUCUCCAUGACAGCAAAUGUAUGUAACCUUGACAUUCUGGUAUAAACUUGUUGAAGAGGAAUAUUUUUAUCGUAUUUUCCAGUCAGUCGCAGUAAUUUAUUUUACACAACAUGAAUGAAGAACACAAUGGACUUGAAGAUGAACCUUUACCAAAAAUAACUCUCAACUCUAAAAUGUGUGAGGAAGGGACAGGUCAGAGUUCUGACUUUCAAGUUCAAGUAACAUCACACACUGGAAAAAUACAUAAAUGUGUGUAUAAAUAUAACGGUGGAAAACCUUAUAAAUGUGGUGUUUGUUAUAAAGAAUUUAGCGAUCAAGCUUCUGUUGAAUGUCAUAUCAGCUGCCAUACUAAUGAAGGCGUCAAACCAUAUAUAUGCACUGAAUGUGGAGCAGACUUCGACGAGAAAAUGUUGCUUGAGAAGCAUAAAAUGCAUGCAGAUAUUAAACUUCAUAAAUGUGAUCAGUGUUGGAGAUCCUUUCAUACAAAAAAUGGCUUAGAUGUACACAAGAGAAGACAUCGCAAUAAACCUUUCAACUGCAGUAUUUGUGAUAAAAGUUUCCAUUAUAUUUUCAUGCUAAAAAAGCACAUGACUAACAAACAUUGUAAUGAAACACUUUAUAAAUGUGGACUUUGCUCUAAAGUUUUUACUCAGCAUGGGUUGCUACGGAAACAUAUGAAAAAACAUGCCGACAAUGAACAUGUUGAAAAGUCCGGCAAAGUAUACAAGUGUGACGCAUGCCAAAAAGAGUCCAGUGAAAAAAGUAAUUUGCAGGCGCUCUCUAUGGAUAUUGAUAACAAAGAUCUGAAAAUUUAUUUUUGUACCGAUUGUAUGUCAAAGGGAAUUAAUGUUCACCAAAUGAGCAACAGCAAGUAUGCAUGGAAAUGAUUAGCCUGUGGUCUUAUUUCUUUCAUUGAUUUAAUCAUAUUUAUUAAAUAAAAUAUUGAAUUAUA